UGCAGCCUUGUCAAAUUCGGUGUUUCCUCCUCAGUGGAUGGCACUGGCCAAAAUGGCUGCAACAGUGACUUUGUAGUCCAUGGGCCCCAUGUUCCUGUAUAGUGGGUACUGGGGAUAGAAGGGCUAUGUACAAAU
rnacentral:snoRNA from 1 species